CGAUUAACGACGAUCUUUUUCUAACUCAAACUAUCGGCAUCUCUCUGUGUCUCCGUCGUCUUCUGAUUUUCCUCCGGAUCGGAGAAGAAAGGCAACGAAAUCAUGGUCCUCCGAAUUCGUGGUUUUCUGAUUCUUCCCGACGUUCCUUACGCGUACUGCAGCUUGAGCGCGCGGCGCUCUCGAUUGAUUCCGUGGUCUGAUCUUCCGCGAAUCGCAAUCCGACGGUGGCGAUGACAUCGCCGCAGAACCAAUCGGCGAAUGUGGAUCUCUUCGAUGCGUAUUUCCGACGGGCCGAUUUGGACCGCGAUGGCCGGAUUAGUGGCAAUGAAGCCGUCGCUUUCUUCCAGGGCUCUGGUCUCCCCAAACAGGUCCUUGCGCAGUCUAGAUUGAUAAAAUGACUACCAAUCAUGCGACAUUAUCUUUGAUGGAGCGGUUUAGGGAGGGACGCCCUCUUCCAGCGUGCUACCAAGCAAUGUUAUGUUUGAUUUAUCCAAUAUUUUUCAACCUGCAAAUUAUUACUCCAAUGCUGGCAAUGUAGCCUGGAGACCUGCUUCUGGCUUUCAACAACAGCAACUGAUGCCUGGUCUUGGUGCUCAGCACAUGGCACCCCCAGCUGGAGGAAGGCCACCGAAGACAGUUGCUCCUUCUCAUGCUGAGGAAAAGCAGCAGGCCAAUUAGUGGAAACCCAGAGUACCAGAAUUGGAGAAACAUCUUGUAGAUCAACUGAGUACAGAGGAGGUUAACUCACUGAACUCAAAGUUCAAAGAAGCAGCUGAAGCUGAUAAAAAGGUACUUAGAACUUUAAUGUUUCCCCAAUUUUCUCAUCUUGAGCAGCAAAUUUAUGUGUGCCUACUUCCUGAUAAGUGUCAAAUCAUAACAAAUAUCCCAGAGACUUGGGUAAAGAAAUCUUGGAUGCUAGAGAGAAAAUUGAAUAUUUCCGGAUCAAAAUGCAGUUCAGCCAUUGAACUUGUAAUGUAUCUUUUGUUUUUCAUUUCUUUGUGUAUGCAUCUUGCUUUUUCUUCAUUCUUUUCUUCCUUUAGCAGUAACGCGAUGUAUAAUAUUUUUGUCAUGUUGAAUGUUCAAACUAUCGCGCUUGGUUGUGAGA